rnacentral:rRNA from 1 species
UUUUCCAGUGACAUCUGCCUAGAAAUAGCCUCCUAUCCCAGUCAUCAAUACUGACAGACAGGCAUGAGCAGGGGCAGGGCUGGUUAGUGCUUGGAUGGGAGACCGCCCGGGAGGACCGGGUGCUGUAGGCU